CCAGCCCAUUUAGACCUGACAUGUUUGAUUUGUGAUUCAUUGCCUCUGUUUAGGAAUUUUAGCUUUCGUUUCAGUGAAUGUUUCCACUUGGAUUAUCUAAUGUGAAAUGUGUUCAGAGAAUAACAUCACUGUCGGCUAUGGAUGUGUGUACACAGAUUCAGAUGAAGUCUUCUGUCAGUCAAGAGCUCUUUUGAUCAUCGACGCCUCCUCAAACUCCCACAGCUACACACAGAGCUGUGGAUGUGCUGAUAUUAUCACCCUGGCAACAUCACGAGCCACUGAGGACUAAAACAAAAGCCACCAGCUCCUCAAUUUCCCGCAACCCCAUCACAAGACUUUCCGCUCUUGUGAAUUUGCAGUGCUAGUCGUGUAAUUGGUGCUCAGUGCUGGACAGUAUCGGACCUCAUCAUCCAGGAGAAUCCGGCUCGGGACAGCUGCCUCAGGGAUGGCGCGGCUCAUGAUAGAAGGGCCGUUUGUAUGCUCAGCAAGUGAGUAAGAGCCACUUUGAAGCAUUCACAGUGGAUAUACAGCGUCAGGGUGUAUCCAAAUGAGAGUCUUGGCUGUUUUAGGCUGCAUACAGAAUGAGGCCGAAUGCACAAGUCUGAUCAUUUGACAGAUUUUACAGAUCUGACCUGUCUAUUGAUAUUCACUUAGACAUACAGAAACUGACUGUAAUUGAUUUUCCCCAUUUAUUAAUGGAGACUAAAAUUUUAUAUAUUUAGGUUUUCUCGUUACACU
rnacentral:lncRNA from 1 species